AUUGAACGCUGGCGGCAGGCCUAACACAUGCAAGUCGAACGAGUGGCGGACGGUGGAGUAAUGUCUGGGAAACUGCCCGAGGGAGGGGGAUAACUACAGGAAACGGUAGAUAAUACCGCAUACAAUCGGAUGUGCCCAGGUGGGAUUAGCUAGGAGGUGGGGUAACGGCUCACCUGGGCGACGAACGCUAGCUGGUCUGAGAGGAUGACCGGCCACACGGGAACUGAGACACGGUCCAGACUCCUACGGGAGGCAGCAGUGGGGAAUAUGUCACAAUGGGCGCAAGCCUGAAGCAGCCAUGCCGCGUGAAUGAAGAAGGCCUUCGGGUUGUAAAGUACUUUCAGCGGGGAGGCGUUACUCGCAGAAGAAGCACCGGCUAACUCCGUGCCAGCCGCCGCGGUAAUAC
rnacentral:rRNA from 1 species